CAGAGUUCCUGGCCGGACCCGGCUCGUGGCUGCCUGCCCGGCGGGCGGGAGCUCCUGGCGGCCGAGCCGGGAGCCGCCGCAGGCACGCAGGGCCCGCGGGCUGGGAGCAGAGCCUCGGCAGCUUGAACAUCUGGAAGUUCACAGUUCACGUAUUGCUGAAGCCUGGCUUGGAGAAUUUUGAGCGUCACUCUGCUAGCGUGUGAGAGGAGUGCAACUAUGCAGUUGUUUGAGCAUUCUUUGGCACGUUUGGUCCUCAGGGUGCUCUUAUCAGCAAGCCCGUUUGGGGGAGGAGUGAAGUGACUUGCACCAGGUUGCCGGUACAAAGAAGCAAAGCUGGAGGUGGUGCCCUGGCCUGGCUGCUCACCCUGGGGCAGGUCUGAGACCCGCUCCACGCUCAGCUGGGCAUGUGGCCCUCAUGCAUGUUCUGGACCGGACCGGCUUCCUCUAAUGGUGUGUAUCUCCUCUCGCCCCAGCCCCAGGCCCUUUGCACAAGCUCUCUCUAUCUGGGACACUUUCCAUGUGACCUUGCUUGGCUGCGGCAUAUGGAUGCUGGCUGACGUGUCGCUGUGUCUGGGUGGAAGUGUUGUCACAAGGGUGUGAGUCAGAGGUGGCCACCUCCCCAGCAGUUGGGCACCCCAGACGGAGGGCAAGGCCAGCGUGGACCCCGGGUGAAGGGUGUGGUGUGUGCUCGCAGGUGACAAUGCCCUGACUGUCUCCUCCUGCCCCGUUAGUGGUGGCAGUGGUGAGCAGGCCUCAGGGUGGGGCUUGUGCUCUGGGACAGUCUCCUGAACGGAUCCCCUGGGCUCUGGAGGGGCGCGUAAAACAGAAGCAGACCCUGACAUCAGGAGGGCAGGCUGGCAGGCGCCUGCACCCCCGCGCUGUGUGCGCCAGCCUUCGGCCCGGAGCCCAGGGCCUCCUCCAGCUGCGCUCCAGGCUGUGGGAGCUCUGUCCGUCCGUCUGUCCGGAGAGCAGGCCCCGGGCCCCUCGCCCUCCUCACACCCCUUGGAGCCAGGCUUGGCAGGAAGUGUGGGGUGGGUGAGGUGGCCUGCAAGGGUGGUGCUGGCGCAGCGGCCGCUGCUGCAGCCCACUCAGCCUCAGCUUCCUCAUCGGGAGCGGGAGACAAGCGGCGGGGAAUGAGUGGGCCCUGGGGGCUGACACCUUGGCGCUGGGGGGACGUUCCCGGAGGCUGCUCCCUGCCGUGAUCCACUGGUUUGGCCCUCUGUCACAAGAGGUUGCCUUUGAGAUCCCCCCGCCCCCGGCCUUGGCGAGUCGGGAUGUGUCCCCAACGGAGGUGCCUGUGACCUACACAUGUGUCUCCAGGAGGGUCUGGCUGGUGGUCGCCUGUGCUCUGGAGGCCUGGGGCCAGUGACUGGGACCAGGCCCUCCGCCGAGGGCAGGACCAAGCUCUGUCUGGUGCACCAAGGAGUGACCCAAGGAGCAUGCACGUAGUUUCUGGGAAGAGGGUCGGGUAGGCUGGGCUUGGGGAAGUCCGUGGGUUCCUUAUUCACUGGGGGUCGGCCUCACUCUGAUCUCAGAGCAGGUCUGUCCCCUUCUGAGUGACCCAGCAGAGGGGCUUGGAAGGUUCCAGCCCCAACCCUGGAGGGUCAGUGGCAGUGUUGGGCAGCUUGGUCUGCCUGGGGCUCAGCCCACCGGGUACUCGAGGCGGGAGGGGGAUGGUCUAGGCCCCACACCUGCUCUGCCCGUGAGGGCUGCUGGCCUUGCUUUGUGGACCAGUGAGGCUGGGAGCGGUCAAGAGCAUG
ensembl:lncRNA